rnacentral:rRNA from 1 species
AAACUUUGCAAUGUGCGAAAGCACGACAAGGUUAAUCCGAGUGAUUUCUGCUAAAGGAAUCUUUUGUCAGUCCUAGAAACACUGUUGAAUAAGGGGUGGGCAAGUUCUGGUGUCAGCCGCCGCGGUAAAACCAGCACCUCAAGUGGUCAGGAUGAUUAUUGGGCCUAAAGCAUCCGUAGCCUGCUUUGUCAGUUUUCGGUUAAAUCCAUACGCUCAACGUAUGGGCUGCCGGAAAUACUGCAAAGCUAGGGAGUGGGAGAGGUAGACGGUACUCGGGAGGAAGGGGUAAAAUCCUUUGAUCUCUCGAUGACCACCUGUGGCGAAGGCGGUCUACCAGAACACGUCCGACGGUGAGGGAUGAAAGCUGGGGGAGCAAACCGGAUUAGAUACCCGGGUAGUCCCAGCUGUAAACUAUGCAAACUCAGUGAUGCAUUGGCUUGAUGCCAAUGCAGUGUUGCAGGGAAGCCGUUAAGUUUGCCGCCUGGGAAGUACGUACGCAAGUAUGAAACUUAAAGGAAUUGGCGGGGGAGCAC